CAUAACUAACCAUAUUAUUAGUAUUAGUAUUAGUAUUAGUAUUAGUGCAACGGUCCCCGUUGCCCUCAUUCAGUCUCCCACGGUGCCACAGAAUUGUCUUGGGUCCCUCAUUUUCCUCAGCCAGCAUAGCUUGUUGGCUGGGGAUGAUGAGAACUAUAGUUUACACAUCCAGAAAAGUGUUGGGGUGGGAAGGCUGUACUCUGCCUCCCCCCCCCCAAAAAAAAACCCCUUAUUAUCUGUGACAAUUCCUCAAUAUCUUAUUAGAAAUAGCCAAUUGUCAAUGCAGGGAUAGGGUCCGUUGCACAGCACAUCAGUAUAAUGGGUACAAGGCACAUCUGCUUUGAUAUUAGAUGCCAAGUUUGGUCUUUCUGAGCUUUAGAGACUGCAAGUUCUGGAGGAAACUAGUACUGGUCAGAGAAUCCAGAAUGCCAGAUAGAUGUAUGUGUUUUUCUUUCUGAGAAUAUGGCUACUUCUGAUAUUCUUUACCAUUCUCAAGUGCAACUUUCUCGUCACCCUUUCCCCAAUUGCAUUGAUCUGUGUUGACAAGCCAGUUCUUGCUGUUUAUGGCACUUUAUCGCCCAUUUACUUUCUUUCCCCAACCUCUAGAGUUCGGACGGUAGAGCAAUUGGACCAACGUUAUCUUCUGGUGCCUGAGAAAGUGAAGGAUGCCUACCUAGUCCACCUGGUCCAGAUGUUCCAGGAUGAACAUGAAGACUGGUCUAUCAUCAUAUUCACCAACACUUGCAAGAAUUGCCAGAUCCUGAACAUGAUGCUCAAGAAGUUCAACUUUCCCUCUGUGGCUCUCCACUCCAUGAUGAAGCAG